rfam:Gossypium hirsutum cultivar TM-1 chromosome 14, whole genome shotgun sequence
AUUCCAUGAUGAGGGCAUCUUCGUUAUACUUCUUUAAACCUUUCCCAUGCCUCAUACAAGGACUCAUCAUCCAUUUGUUGGAAAUUAAAGAUCUCAUUCCUCAACUU